GACGAACGCUGGCGGCGUGCUUAACACAUGCAAGUCGAACGGAAAGGCCCUGCUUUUGUGGGGUGCUCGAGUGGCGAACGGGUGAGUAACACGUGAGUAACCUGCCCUUGACUUUGGGAUAACUUCAGGAAACUGGGGCUAAUACCGGAUAGGAGCUCCUGCUGCAUGGUGGGGGUUGGAAAGUUUCGGCGGUUGGGGAUGGACUCGCGGCUUAUCAGCUUGUUGGUGGGGUAGUGGCUUACCAAGGCUUUGACGGGUAGCCGGCCUGAGAGGGUGACCGGCCACAUUGGGACUGAGAUACGGCCCAGACUCCUACGGGAGGCAGCAGUGGGGAAUAUUGCACAAUGGGCGGAAGCCUGAUGCAGCAACGCCGCGUGCGGGAUGACGGCCUUCGG
rnacentral:rRNA from 1 species